UCCUAACCCUAACUCCUCAACACUACCCACACCCGCCGCUCUCUCUUCUCUCUGACUCCUUGUCUCCUCUCCUUGCCAGCACGCACCUGCUCCCGCGGCGGCGCGGCUCGGCCUCUGGAGCGGGACACCGACGGCGACACCGGAGCGGGAUCUGGAGCGGGACACCGAUGGCGGCGGCCUCUGGAGCGGGAUCUGGAGCGGGACGCCGACGACGCGGCCUCAGACCGGAUCCACCACUUGCCUACGGGAUCUGCAGCGGGACACCGACGACGACGGAGACGAGGAGCCCUCACUCCGGCUGCAUAAUCCCGUCGCCGUCGCCACCCUCGCUCCACGCCGCCGACCUCAAGGAGUUCGUCAAGGGGAAACAAGUUCAAAGACCAGUAACCUGAUGCAGUGAAUUUUUUGGAGUUACCACUAUAUUUGUUGGAAUUCUACUAAAAUUUGGAGUCGCGCUUGGUUCUUAUUUUACUGAAACCACUAGAAAGUAAAUUUGGCUCAUGUCCAGUGUACUCAUAUAGUCAUAUGACAAGGUCACACAUUCAAAAAUAGUCGUCCAUUGAUAGCAGAGAAUUGCAAAUAAAUGACAAGUAGUUCUCUCCACCUCUUCCUUGAUGUCAAUACAGUACACAGUCUUGUAGUAAUGCUUUCUAUUAGAUACAUGGCAAAAUAACCUUUUAAUGUUUUAUAUAUAUCCAUCUGCUGAAAAAUAUUUACUAAGGCUCUUGCUCGCAUUUGCAGGAUUGCGGCAUCUAAUCCAUGUGAACUUUGCUUUAUGAGAGGAGCUGAUUAGACAAUGCAACCAGGAUAGUUGCAGUUUUUUUGUCCAAGCUGUAAGAAGUUUCAUGUCCAGUUUCUGUAUGAGUCCAAGUUUGAAGUGGAUAAAACCUCAAUCCAUGUGAAAAAAGCAUGUGUGGCUAUGCUGAAGAAUGUUGUUCGCCAACGACGCUAUAAGUUAAAGAAGAUGUAUUUUGGUCCUCUUCCACUACAUCAAGUGUCCAAGAAAUGUGUUGAUAUUUGUUUGAAAUGUGUUGAGACUUGUAAUGGUGAUGACAUUGACAUGUGUAAGUCUUGCCAUUUUCUCUGUAACUGAUACCCUAUGUUCUGGAGAUAGGAUUAACAUGUAAUGGAGAUGGCAUUGAUCAUCUGUACCUGAUCUUUUGUUUUCUAAACCUUUUCUGUGAUGAAAAUAGGUUGUGAUCUGUGAUGAUAUUUGGUUGUGA